GGACAAUGACAGCGUGGAGUUGGAAAAGUAUGGGUUUUGCCCUCUUGAGAACACACAUGCUGCAACAUAGUGUUGUACCUGUAGCUCACAGCCCCGUGACUGAUGUAGCACAGUGGAAGGACAGAAACAAAUGCUACCAUGUCCUUCAUACUCAACCUCAACACCACGGCAACCAACCAUGGGUCAUGAUCACUGGAAUAAAAGCUGUCUGCUUGAGGCUAUAGAGCUCUGUCUGGCAUCAGGCAAAUGUUCCAGAAGAUCUUGCUCAGCCCAGCGCCAGAACUCAAACUUCAAAGCUGACAUUCCUAAGCUAAUGAAGCAAAUGUGUUAUCAAAAGAUCCUCACAUGAAAUUAGAGGUGGCAACUCAACCACAGAGGUCUGGGAUAUUGUGUCACCCACAGAAAUGACGGUGCUGCGAACAUUCCUGCAGAGGCAACUAUAACCUUUGAAGGCUGCUAAUGUAACCCCAAAACUGCACCAAGUCAUGGGUCUUUGAGCCUGCAGGGAUUUGAACACAGCAAGAUGAUAUGUGCUUUUGGAUUUGAAGCAGUCUGUGGGUUUUUGUUUAUUUGUUUUGUAGCAAUCGCUAAUAUUGGUGAACGCUUCAUGUGAAUAUAGCAUAGGGUGGACAUCUCUUUCUCCCCAGAGGAAUUCCACAAUUCUCCAUGCCAAAAAUACUGAAGAAAAACCCAAGGACUGACAUUUCACUCAUGCUCAGCAGUCAUUCUCAAAUUACUACCACACAUUGCCUGAUGCCUGCCAUCUGCCUAAGGAGCAAGAAACGCAAAUGGUCUAGCAGCUUAUAGAAGACCUUCCUAUGGCUGCCUUAAUGCUUAAAGCUCCAAAAACGUCCAUGUACAGACAGUUACUAUUGCACACUGAGAUACAGUGAAUGGGAGUUAUUCCUCAAUUCCUCCAUGGAAAUGAAUGAGUGACUACUCAAGUGAGGGAGAUAAGACAGAGAAGCAGGAAGAGUACAUAAACGAAGAAUGAUAGUCAGAGGCAAAAAUUAUAAUUUCUAAAUUAAUCUAGGACAACAUGAACACACAUGCCCACUGACUUUGGACUCUAAAUGUAGGACAAGUUUUGAUUCAAAAAAAUACAGCAGUGAGCUUCAUUACCUUUUGAUGCUUUCCAUUACAUCAGAUUUACACCAGCAUGCCUCUGGGCAUCUUCUACAGUUUUGUCUAAUGAAUAAGUAAUUCCACUUUCUCAUCACAGGAAUCCUGCUUUCUCUUUGGCUUUAAAACAUAUUUUUAUUUUUGUUAAUUGUGUGUGUGUAGUGUGUAUAUGCAUAAACAUGUUUGUGUGUGUAAGUGUGUAAGUGUGAGUACAGUCCAUGGUACAUGGACUGUAGAAAUCAGAGGGCAACAUGGGUGCCUGUCCUCUUCUUUUGUAUUUUAAUUUAAUCAAUUAGCUAUCUAAGUAACUAUUAAUUUUGAGAUCUAUUGCACAAUAUAUUCUGAACUCAAUUUAAAUGCAAAGCAAUCCUCUUGCCUCUGCCUCCUGAGAGCUAGGAUUAUAAGCACAAUUCUCUAUGCUUAUUCUUGUCAUAAAAAGAAAAAAAAAAAGCACCAAUGCAGUAUUUUGCAAUGCAGUUAGGGGAAAGAAAGUCUUUUCUGAUUUGCUGAAUCCAGUCUUUUCUGAUUUGCUGAAUUUACCUAAAAGCUGCAAGCUGCCCAUUCUCGUUUGCUUUUGCUCAGGGCACUGAAAGAAAAGUGUGCUUUGAAAAGAGAAUCCAGUACAAAACCAGUCCUUGGAUACACUGUCACUUCUCACCUCUGCCUCUCUGCUCAGCAGGGUUUGUUGUUGCUGUUUCCCUAGAAAGGCUUUGCUCUCAUCUGUUGUCAAGAGUUCAACUCAGCAUUCUCCUACCAAGUUUUCCUGGAUUGAAAAUAUUCUUCUGGAUUCCUAUUUCAAUCCUCUUACAUUUGCUUAACAUAGCCAUUUCCAUCAUCUCCAAAUUAACUCUUGUCUUACGACCACCUAAUAAAAAGCCAUAUGGAAAGGUAGAUGUUUCUUGA
rnacentral:lncRNA from 1 species